AUUCAUCUGACGAGUCACAAAUAGAACGAAACGUGCAUCCUGGAU
rnacentral:hammerhead_ribozyme from 1 species